UUACAUAGCAAGGGCCGGGCAAGACCGGUGCCAGCCGCCGCGGUAACACCGGCGGCUCGAGUGGUAACCGUUAUUAUUGGGUCUAAAGGGUCUGUAGCCGGCCGGAUAAGUCUCUUGGGAAAUCCAGCAGCCUAACUGUUGGGCUUUCAGGAGAUACUAUUCGGCUCGAGGCCGGGAGAGGUGAGAGGUACUUCAGGGGUAGGGGUGAAAUCUUGUAAUCCUUGAAGGACCACCAGUGGCGAAGGCGUCUCACCAGAACGGACCUGACGGCAAGGGACGAAAGCUAGGGGCACGAACCGGAUUAGAUACCCGUGUAGUCC
rnacentral:rRNA from 1 species